UACAGAGGUGGCAAGCGUUGUUCGGAAUUACUGGGCGUAAAGGGCGCGUAGGUGGCUCUCUCAGUCAGACGUGAAAUCCCCAGGCUUAACCUGGGAACUGCGUCUGAUACUAGAGAGCUUGAGUUCGGGAGAGGGAUGUGGAAUUCCAGGUGUAGCGGUGAAAUGCGUAGAUAUCUGGAGGAACACCGGUGGCGAAGGCGGCAUCCUGGACCGAAACUGACACUGAGGCGCGAAAGCCAGGGGAGCAAACGGGAUUAGAUACCCGUUAGUCC
rnacentral:rRNA from 1 species